rnacentral:rRNA from 1 species
AAAUGGACUCUGCAGCAACG